UACGUAGGGUGCAAGCGUUAAUCGGAAUUACUGGGCGUAAAGCGUGCGCAGGCGGUUAUAUAAGACAGAUGUGAAAUCCCCGGGCUCAACCUGGGAACUGCAUUUGUGACUGUAUAGCUAGAGUACGGUAGAGGGGGAUGGAAUUCCGCGUGUAGCAGUGAAAUGCGUAGAUAUGCGGAGGAACACCGAUGGCGAAGGCAAUCCCCUGGACCUGUACUGACGCUCAUGCACGAAAGCGUGGGGAGCAAACGAGG
rnacentral:rRNA from 1 species